rnacentral:lncRNA from 1 species
UUUUUCAUGUCUUUCUUGUUCUGGAAUAAUUAUAUCAUAGAAAAUACUCACUGAAUUUUAAGAAUCCUCCAUCAUUACCAUUAGUACAAAACAAAGCAAGAUAAACAUAGUUAUAUUUUGCUAUACAUUCGACUUACAUAGAAAAGGGUUCUUAUACACCACAAACAAACAUACUAAACUAUAAUAGGUAUAGUUUAUGUUCAUUUACAUUAGAAAAGGUUUUCAUACGAAAAGGGGUACAAAUACAAAGUAUCGGUUUUAUACGAAAAGGGGUACAAAUACAAAGUACUGGUUUUAUACAAAAGGGGAACAAAUACAAAGUACUAGGUUUUCAUGCGAAAAGGGGUACAAAUACAAAGUACCGACUUUAUACGAAAAGGGGUACAAAUACAAAGUACCGAUUUUAUACAAAAAGGGGUAUACAUACAAAGUACCAGGUUUCCAUACAAAAAGGGGUACAAAUACAAAGUACCAGGUUCACAUGAAAUAGUUUUCAUGAUAUUAAAACUAUAUUUCAUCUAGAAUUAUUAGACUUCAGCUAUAAUUGUUAAGUGUAUAUGCUAGAGUUAUACAAGAAUCUAGUCACAAUCGACUUAGAAUUGGUGGGCCCACCUUAUCUCCUGUUCCUUGUUUGGUUGUGGACAUGGGGCAGACCCAUUAUAUUCAACGAUUUAUUUAACUAAAUUUUUAUAUAAUUUAUAUACGCUGAGUGAUUAUAGAAUGAAUAUAUGGGUCUUUCUAGGAUUCAUUAUCGCAUAACAUAGAAGCAUUCAUUUCAUACAUAAUAAGGAAAAUAUUGGAUUUUCUAGAAACAUACUUUGUUACUUUUACAAGGAAAACAGUUUCAUUCUGAAACAAAACUCUUAUGAACUCACCAACUUAAUUGUUGACACUUUUUCAAACUUACUUGUAUUCUCAGGAAAUUAGUGAAACAGGAAAACAUCAGUGCCUUAAGGAUGGGACGUUAAAUCGUCAAACAAUUUAUUUUGUCAUCAUAAUGUAAUUGAUUUUGAAACAUGUAAACACAUACUUUGGUGUAACUUUUUCAAUUAUAUUUAUGAUGGUUGUAUUUACUUUGAGCACUAUUAUACUCGUUGUUGUGAUACUAUACAUGAAGUCCUCUACCCCCGAAUGUUUCCGCCAUCCUUGGUUUGGGGGUGUGACAUAAUCCUUUGUAGGGGGAGCGUGAUACUUGUGAAUAGAUCUAUACGGGAUUCACAAUCCCGCACCUAAGAUGUUAGCUACAGCUAGGCCGGCAGGCCUGGGGUGACAAAUGUCAUAACUUUCCAACGCCUGAAGGACAUAGCUAUAGGAAUCCUGGUCAAAUAGCAUGGUUAUAAGACACACAUGGAGUAUUAGAAACACGUUGGUUUACGGGGUUAUCAAAUGCCUUAGUGAUUUUAUAUUUACACAAAUAUACUACUCUAGGCUUGAAAAACACGAUUUCAUUUCAGUUUUGGAACUUUUAAACUACCACACACUCAUGGAUAAAUGUUGGUCUUUUAGAAACAAAUAUUCAAAAACAGUUGGGCCUCGAUAAAAGGCUACUUUUAUACUGGUAGAAAAUAUGGGAUUUUCUAGGAGUUUUCAAAACAUAUACAAACAAUUACAUUGAACGAUUUCAAACGUUUUUAUCAAACUUAUACGAACAAUGACAUUAAAUAUUUAUGAACUUACCAACUUAAAUGUUGACCUACACUUUCAAAAUAACUUGUAUUCUCAGGUCACCAGUAGACAGGUAUGAUGACCAGGUUUUGCAAAGACGGAGCAGUCGAGACUCGUCUUUUAUUUUGAUUACUUGUUGUAAUGUCUUAUUACUAUGAAAGAACACACAUGUAUUAAACUAUUACUAUUAAUGAAAUGGAUGAUGUUGUUGCUUGUUUACUACUUUGCAUUGUUGUGAUACAUUACAUGAUGUCCUCCGCCCCAGAACGUUUCCGCCUUUCCGGUUUUGGGGUGUGACAAAAAUAUGGAGAGAUUUUUGGUCCUAGCAACAACUUGGAGAGACUUUCGAACUUAGAGGAGUUCUAGGAGAUUAGAUCAUAAACAAAGCUAUGUAAGAUGGAUUUUUUUUUAUUUAGAUGGAAGUAGAUGUUUGUGUUUAAUACUAACUUACCAAAGUUUGAAGAAAGCUUGAUGAAGAUCUAUAGAAACUCUAGAAGAUUUUGAGAUAUCUUGAUGGGAGGUGGAGGAUGAUCUUGAAGGUGGUUUGGAGAAAAUUUGGAAAUCUGUGUGUGUGUGUGUUGUGAUCUUUUUACGUGAGUAAUAAUAAGAAGAAGAGAGAAGGAGAGAAAGGAUAGGUGCAUAGAGACAUGAGAAGUUUCAUGGAAGUCCAACAUGUAAUAAGGAGGUGGCUGUCACACCCCCAAACCAAGGAUGGCGGAAACGUCUCGGGUGGUAGACUUCAUGUAUAGUAUCAUAACAACGAGUAUAAUAGUGAUCAAAGCAAUACAACCAAUCAUAAAUACAAUCGGAAAAGAAUUACAUAGUUUCAAGUGUUACAUAUUUCAAUGAUUGAUUACAACAUGAUAUGAAAAAUAGUUGUUCAACGUCGUAGCAUACCAUCCUCAAAAGCUUGUGAUUUCCUGGUUUCGUUGAUUCCCUAAGAAUACAAGUAGUUUGGAAAAAGUGUCAACAAUUAAGUUGGUGAGUUCAUAAUCUUUUUAGAUGAGGAGUUUGGAAACCAAUCUUUGUAAUGAGUUACACACUAAGGUAAAGUCAACACUCCACCGUAAGUAUCUUAUCCAAGAGAUAUUAUUCUUAGGCAGUGAUUUUCCUCCAAAUAUGAUUAAAAUAUGAAUGUUUAGGGUCUCUUAUGUUAAACUACGAGUUUGGGUGAAAACCUCGUGUUAAAAUCACGAAAAAUGGGCUUAAAAUGCUAAAAGAGUUGAAAACCGGGAAAUUUAGGUGAAUCUGUGAAGUCAGGGACGAAGGUACGGUCCUUGUGCUUAGAACAAAGGGUAAGUUCGGUCUAUGGCUGGGAACCGAGAGCUGGCUGAACCGAGAAAUUUCGCACGCGAAGGUGUUGGGUAAGAAGCGAAGGCGAAGUCAGGCGUGAGAGGCGAAGGCGAAGUGAGCAGAGGGAGCUUCGGUUCGAAGGUCUGAUCCGAGCCGAAGGUGCUAGGAGCCGAACCAGAAGGUGACUUCGGUCCUAUAAGAGGUUUCGGUUCCUUAUGGGAAGUUUUAGUACAUGGCAGUUUCGGUCCUCCUUGGUUUGGUUCUUGCUAGUUUUGGUCCAAGAGGCUUCUUACGGGUUUCAUUUCUUAGGGUUUCGGCCCUAAGAAGGUUCGGUCCUAAGAGGCUGUUUUUCGUGUAGACUUCCGUUUUCGAGCUAUUUUCGUCUAAUUAACGGGUCAGGAUGCCCCAAGUGAUUAUAAGAAGUUGAGAGAGAUUUGGGAGAGAUUUCACACACUUUGAGAGAUUUCUCAUACAAAGUGAGAUUUGGUAGAGAUUUCACAUUUUUGGAGAGAUUUCUCAUACAAAGAGAGAUUUGGGAGAGAUUUCACAUUCUUGGAGAGAUUUGGGAGAAAUUUCACAUUCUUGGAGAGAUUCGGGAGAGAUUUCACAAUCUUGGAGAGAUUCGGGAGAGAUUUCACAUUCUUGGAGAGAUUUGGGAGAGAUUUCACAUUCUUGGAGAGAUUUGGGAUAGAUUUCAAAUAGAGAGAGAUAAAGCGAGAGAGAUUUAGAGAGGCUUUAUUUGCGACUUUUGUGAGUGUUUAAUUUGGAAAGGCAAGGUUUGUAAAACCCAUUAAGCCUCGUUAUGAACUUUAUACACCCUCGAAGGGUAUGUAUUAAUGUUUUUAUUGACUAGUUCCAUCUCUUACCCUAAUUUGGGUGUGGAUUUUCUGAACACGUGAAACUUUAAGCGAUGCUUUGUAUUAAGAUGGUGUGUUGUACAAUAGUAAACAUAAGGUAAACCCUAAUAUAAAAGGGUUAAUUGAGUUGACCGGUUUGACUUGUUGACUUUAUUUGACUUUGAUUUGACCAGAAAUUGAUGGUUGUCACAUCGUCCCCCCGUUAGAAGGAAUUUCGUCCGGAAAUUGACGUUUCCACUGGGACAUCAAGAGUUGGGGAAAAGAUGUGGGUGUUUUUGUUUCAUCUGAUCUUCGCAUUCCUAAGUGAAGUCGGGUCCUCGUUGUGCGUUCCAAUGGACCUUCACAAUAGGGAUGCGACUUGAUUUCUAUCGGUUUUUCCACAAAGUGGAGACUCUCAUCGAUUUUGAUUUCGUCGAGUGGAAUCACGAGGGUCUUGUCGGAUAGACAUUUCUUUUAAGUUCGAUACGUAGAAGGUAAGAUGUACGUUAUCAAGUUCUUGUGGCAGCCGAAGUUUGUGUGCCAGUGGCCAAUCCUGGAGAAGAUUUCAAAUAGCCCGAUGUAUCUUGGAUUUAGUUCCCAUGUUUACCAAAGCGUACCGUUCUUUUCCACGGUGAGACCUUUAGUAGUACAUGGUCACCAACCUGGAAUUCCAAGGGUUUGAGUCGCUUAUUUGCGUAGCUCUUUUGUCGAUCUCGAGACGCUUUCGGUCUUUCUCGAAUUUCUAUGAUCUUUUUUGUUGUCUCUCUUAUGAUUUCAGGGUCAGCAAGGGUGCUGUUAGGGACUCGCCCCUCCGAUAGCUGUGUACCUCCCACUUCAGCCCAGCGCAGUGGUGAUCUGCCCUUACGGAUAUACAAAGCUUCGAAUGGAGCAAACUUGAUGUUAGGGUGAUUGUUGUUGCUGUGCAAAAAUUCAAUGAAUGGUAAGUGGGCAUUCCCACGCUUUACCGAAGUCAAUCACUCAAGCCAUUGGCAUGCUUCCCAGGUUUGAAUGGUUUCCUUUGCUCUACCUGUCAGUUUGCUGGUGGUAGGCCGUACUCAAGCCUAGUCUAGUCUCUAUAAGGGUUGCCAGAACCACGAAAGGAAUCUACCAUCUCUGUUAAAGAUAAUGGGUAUUGACACACCAUGCAGUCGUGUGAUCUCUUUGAUGUACGUUCUAGUAAAAUUCUCUAUCUUUCUGGUUCCUUUGAUUGGUCGGAAGUGCACGGAUUUGGUCAACCUAUCAACAAUUACCCAAAGGUAUCAAGACCACCCUUUUACUUAGGUAACUUGGUUGUGAAGUUCGUGGCUAUCCGCUUCCACCUCCUUUCGGUUAUCAUUGGUUGUUUGUAGGAAACUCGAAGACUUCUAUUAUCCUACCUUGACCUUGGCACAAGUCCGAUACUAUCCCACAUGUGUAGCGAUGUCAGCUUUCCUAUUCGGCCACUGAUGUUACUUUUUUGACGUCCAGACACAUCUUAUCCGAGCCUGGAUGAAUGAAGUAGCGAGUUUUCAUGUUCAUUGCUCAUGACGUCAUUUCUGAUUCCGUCGACCUCGGUGUCUAGAUCCGGUUCAUGGGAUAACAUGCCAUGUUGUCCUUGUCUUAUAGGUUCUUAUGAUCGGUGAAUAUUGUACACUCCGUGUCGUAGAGAUAGUGUCUUUAGAGAUGUAGGGCGAAUACUACCGCACCUAGUUCGAGGUCAUGCAUGACCUAGCUGACCUCGUACGUCUUUAGUUGUCUUAAGUCAUAAGUAGAAAAAUCUUCUCCUCGGAGCGCUGCAUAGGGCCUGCUAUAGUGUUUCUCGAUUGAUUAGUUCAGUAAGGAGCAUAUGGGUUUAGUUUACGCGACUAGACUUAUUUGGAUGGCAGAACGUUCACUCGCACUCUUGGGUAGUCUUGACCCGAAGUUCCUGGUAAGAUUCGUACCUGGUCCCUCUAUCUCUAACUUGUGCAUAAAGGUCGUAUGUAAUUAGGGUUGCUAAGACAGUUGGAUGGGUGACUCUGCCCCAAUUCCUCAACCAGACAAGGAAUUGGAAAUAGGAAGGAAGCACACAUCCAAUGUACGUAGAAUCUUAACUAUAUAUUAUCCUUGGGUAUACAUUUAGUAGUGAUAGACUAACCAUAUUCAUCCCAAGCUUCCGUGCUUGAUCUUGACCUGUUAUACGAGGGAUAUUCUCGAAGGGUUUACCAGGAAUAAUUUGAAAAGGUUACAGAGGGUAUAACACACCUCCAGAGAGUGCUUUGGGGUUUCACAAUGAAGGAUGACCAGAUAAUAAGAGUCAGAUUUAGGGUUAUGAGAGAUGAGGGUUUCGAUAUUCAGCUGGAUAAGUGGAGGGUCUUCUCGUAACAUAUGCAAUUGAUAAGGUGAUGAUCCAAACCAAUCCAUAUAGAAUGACGACACAGGAUUUUCUUGAUGACACAUGUAUCAAGUCGUAUUCGUAAGAGGUAUUCGUUAUAGUGAUAGUGCAUCCUUUAUUUCUUUUUUUUAGUGUUUUCCGUUUUGAUCGUUGUUAUUGUUGCUGCAAAUGAUUUAUACCAUAGUAGCUAGUGCUGGUAGUAUGUGUGUUUUGAUAACUAGUAAUGAUACUUUAUAUUGUGAUCCCUGGCCGAUCAUUCUAUGAUCAAUUGGUAUAUGCAGGUCUUAUGUCAUUUGAUAUUGAUGAAACCAACGAGUGAAUGGCUCUACCCUAAUCCCACCAUUAGACAUGGAACAAGAAUUAGGAUGAAAUUAUUCGCUUUAAGUCUGUAGUAUUUUGAUUAUAAUUAAUCAUGAUGUAUGCGUCAAUUCAUCACAACUCACCGGUAAUGAUCCUAAGGUCACAUAUGAGUGUCUUUGAUUCGGUUUAACGAGAUCGUAUUUUAACUACUUUUUGAAAGACGGUAAUUUUUAGCAAACACACCGAGUUCAUUACAAACAUACAAUACUUAAACGUUUUCGUUGUUGGAAACAUUACAAAGGUCCUAAUAAGAUUGCUUGUUGCUCUUGCGAGUUUGUUUGUCACACUCCUCCUGCUCCCUCUUCAUGCCUCUCAGUUGGACAGUCUCUCUUGAAGUGUCCCAUUACACCACAUAGGUGGCACACUGGACUUACAUUGGUAUUGGCGGUUGAAGUGAUGUGCUGAGUCGGGGUCCUGCAGGAGCGAAUUGUAUGUCCUUUCAUGUUGCAUUUGAUACAGUAUGGAAUCCGGCAAGCUCCAGUGUGAUGGUAGUUACACUUGUUACACUUUGGAAGUGUUCCCAUAUAUUGCCUAUCUAGUGUUUGAGAGACAGAUGUUGUGGCUGAGGUCGAGACAUGUGUUGCGAUUGCUGUCGUAAUUGUAGGGGCAGCCACGGAUUGCUGUCUCUUAGCGAAUUUUUGAGAUGGGUUGCACUUCUUUCUGUUCCGAAACUUCCGUUUCUUACUCUUAGGUUUGUGGUCUGAGUUAUUUUCGUUGGUAGACGCCCGCUGGUGUUCUUGAUUGUCAUUACGGUUAGUAUUUCCGGUACCAUUUUCGUGCCCACUGUCGUGUUAGCAUUGAGUUGUGCCAUAACAGUUGCCUCAACUACCGUGACUGCAUCUUGAAAAGUAGCAGAAUCUAUCUCCAAGGUUGGCUCUUGGUGAGGACAUAAUUUUGUUUCAUGAUGAAGAAUGAUUUCGUGAGUGGGGAUGAUUACCUCAAGUGCAUUCUUACAAUUUCUAUUCACACAUAUAAAUUUCGCACAUUGCUGCGCUAAUCUUAGUGUUUUGAUAAACAAUCCCGAGAGGGAGUUACGAAAAUGGGUAGAAGUGGGUUUUGUACGAAUGUUAAAUUUACCCAUCCUAGAUACUAUCUUUGUCCAAACACUCUUUGCCGCGGAGUUCUGAAGGGAUCCGGUGCAUUAGUGCUGGUAUGAUCGCACCCUAGAUGCCUACCAAAAAGGCACCUUUCAACCAAAAUGUUUAAAGGUGAGACAAUAAUGAGUCGUUAGAAAGGGUUGGGCGUCGUAAGUUAUCUAACUAAGUUCAUCUUAGUUCUAAGUGUAUUGUAUUUCGAUUUUUAUGGUGUUCUGAAGGCAAUUCCUAAUGAAAGUCUAUAAUAAACCUAUGGAUUUUAGUAGUUCUGUAUCCAACUGAAACCUUGUAAUUUGAUCCAAGCUAGGUCCUUCUUACGAACGCUUGAUGUUUGCUUAGUUGCAUGAGUAAGACUUAGUAGACCUUCAAGUCUAAUGGGCCUGACGUAAGCCCCCUUUUGUUAAUGUGAUUAUAGUAAUUUUGGUUUCUGGGAAAAUUUUGACCUCGAUGCAGGUCUACCCCACAUCAUUGUAAGGAAAAGUUUUGACAGCAAAUCAAUCCCCCGAUUACUCGCAAGGUUGAGCUUACACCUAGAAUAGAGUAGCACCAACGGAUACUCAAGAACUUAAUCUACCAGGUCUUGUGAGCAGUAUGAACUCUACUCACGAUGAUCCGUCCCUUACGAUGCCCGAGACAAAGUCGAUGCACCUUGCAGCUCUGCCAAUUGACGCUUGGCUACAACCAUUCUCUCUUCCAGUGCCGUGUGUCUACCCUGUUAUCCUUUUGUCUCCGUCCGAGUGGCGAUAAAAGUCCCCAUGAAGUUGGUUUCUGAAAUAGUAGCUUCUUUCCAAGACUCAAGUUUGUGAUAUGGUAGCGUCUGUAGUAGCAUGCAGUUCCUGGAAUUGAUUGGCAGUCUCCCUAUUUUGAUCCCCGAUGUUCGCUAUCUGUCAAGUCUUCGCCGGGAGGGAUCUGUCAGUCGGUCCCCCGUGUUUGAGAUCAUAGCAACCUUGUUGGUCUCCAAAUGGUGAUUGUUGCCAUUGUUGUCGAUAAUAACCCUCGAUCACAGUUACCCAACGGGGCACAGGUCUGAUAUAGUCGAAACGGUUCUCGGGAACCCUGGCUAUGUAUGGAGGGUUGAUCACCUCCGGUUCCUCUUCUAAUUCUUCCUCGUCUUCAUCUUCACUCGUGAUUAUUUUGAUUUCCUCAUCUUCAGAUUCUUCUUCCUCGUUUUCCACGGGUUCUUCAUUGGGAUCUUCUUCAGGUUCUUCUCCUAACCAUCCACCAUUUCCCUGGUUGGGAAGGUAGGGGUCGCCUGGUAAGUAGAAUCUUGCUAUGCUAUAUGUGCGACAAUAGGAGGGGUAGGAAACAUAUGUUAGUCGUAUUCCUACAAAUACUUAUGGGUGUUUGAUCCUCAUUAGUUACUUCUAUAAUGACAUAAUGCAUACCAAUUACAUAUAACAAGAUAUGAUAGACCUUCAAAUAAGUGAUCCUACCCUACGUCCACAUCCAAACAAGGAAAAGGAGGUAAGGAAAUGACCACAGAUUCUAAUUCUAUGAUCUCUAAGUGAUAUAUAACUUUAGAGUAUCCACUUAGUGACUAUAGACCUAUUAUUAGGGAUCUAUUUAGUUUUCACAUAAGCUAUGAUAUUAAAAAAAUACUCCUAUAGUAUUUUAAAUGUUAUGUUUGGUUCUUAAUAACUUUCUUGUAUGGAAAGUGUUUUAUUUAUUUUUAUUUUUUUUAGGCUUGUUGCUCACUAAGACCAUGCCCCGGCAUACCAUAGUCACACCUCGGAUAGAUAUAGUUGAUUAGGCUAUAUUCAUCCCAAGUCUGAUUAGAUAUCCCAAGGUCUACUCGUAGUGUCCAACUCCUCAUUUUACUUUUGUGUUUUCCUUAGACGUGAUACUAUACUGGUAUGCAUGUAUGUAUUUAUACUUUUAACAAGAAACUAUUUAAAUCUGAAAGUAUAAUUAUUUGAAAACAUUUAAAUCAGAGACUUUAGUCCCAAUGCAUUUAUAGUUUGUAUAUCUUAUGUGGUUCGAUAUACAUAGUUCACUAUAAACAAUGCUCUGAUACCAAUCUGUCACACCCCCAAACCAAGGAUGGCGGAAAUGUCCGAGGGUGGCGGACUUCAUGUAUAGUAUCAUAACAGCGAGUAUAAUAGUGAUCAAAACAAUACAACAAAUCAUAAAUAUAAUCGGAAAAGAAUUACAUAGUUUCAAGUGUUACAUAUUUCAAUGAUUGAUUACAACAUGAUAUGAAAAAUAGUUGUUCAACACCGUAGCGUACCAUCCUCAAAAGCUUGUGGUUACCUGGUUUCGUUGAUUCCCUGAGAAUACAAGCAGUUUUGAAAAAGUGUCAACAAUUAAGUUGAUGAGUUCAUAAGCUUUUUAGAUGAAGAGUUUGGAAACCGAUCUUUGUAAUGAGUUGUGUGUUACCAAGAAAAAAUCCAAUAUUUUCCUUACGAGAGUGAUGUGUAGCCUUAAAUACCAAGACCAAAAUGUAUAAGUAAUAUCCAUGCUUAUUGAUAUAAAAAGUGAUUUUAAAUCAAAAUAAAACCCUUUUUGAUUUGAGAAAAUCCCCGUAAAUUUUAUGUGUUGUUAACUCCCUAUGUGAUUCGCUAUAACCAUACUAUGACUAAUGAACCUGCCACGAUGUUUCUCAGGCGUCGAAAAAGAUAAUGACACUUGUCACCUCAGACUUGCUAGUCUAGCUGUUACAUGCAACUCAGGUUUGGGUUUGUCAGACCCAAUAUAGAUCUAUACACAACUAUCACGUUCUCCCUAAAAGAGACUCUUGUUAUAACUACCAGAAAUUUUAACCUGUACUCUGGGAGUACUGAGAAGAAUGUCUCACAAUUUAUGAUAACAUGUUUACGUGUAGUGUGCGUGAAAAUAAAACCUUUUCCCAUGGAAAUAAAACUUCCGAAAUUUGUUUGUUGUGUUAAUGGGAACAUGUUUAUAAUGUAUAUGAAACAUAAACUAUACUUACCAUAGUUUAUCAUAAAUGUUUGUAAUGUCUACGAAACAUAAACUAUACCUAUUAUAGCUUAUAAAAUACAUUUUGUAAUGGUAGAAAUCCUUUUUACAUAUGAUGUAAACCUCUGUAAUAGGUAAAAGAAAUUUAAUAUAACCAACAUGUAUUUAUAUAUGAUAAUACACACCUUGCUCAGCAAGUUACAAGGUGUAAAUGAGUUAUCAGUAAUUUGCUAGUGUUAUAUUUUCUGUUCCUGUUUUGGAAUAAUUAUAGAAAAAUCAUACAGAGUCGAAAAAUAAAUCUGUAAAAUUUGAGAGUUUAUAAAAUGUGUUUAGUUUGUCCUUAAAUUUUAUUUUGAUUGUUAAAAGUCUCUAACUGGUAUUAAAAUGUUCAUAUUCACUGACUGGUCCAAAUACGUAGCUACAGUGAUAAACAGUUUUGUAAAAAUCACCAUAAAUAGUAGAAAAAUCGUAUGGACAUGUGCAAGUAGUCAUUUUAAAGGUAUUAACCUGAAAUAUUUUCAUCUAUUAUAGUUUUGAAAAAUAAAAUGUUUAACUAGCCCAAAACAAGCCGUGUAUGAACAUUAACUUUUCUGUUGAAAGCUGAUGUUUGAGUUUAGUUGUGUUCUUGGUGUUUUAACUUGUAUUCCCCACAUUAAAACUUAAGAAAAUCACGAAAAGAUAGGAGUAUGAACUCACCUUAUGUGAUUUCAGUGGAUGGAUGUUGAAGAAGGGAAGUGUUCAACUCAAGAACACUUAGAAAACGCCUUGAAGAUUCGAAGAUCUAACACGAAUAUGAUGAUGUUUGUUGUAAGGCAUCCAUGAUUUUAGUAGAAAGAAAGUGAAAUAAUCAUGUGAAGGAUAAUAUUACUUACCAAAAGUAGAUGAAGAACUUGAAAAUCAGCCCUUGAAUCUCGAAUUUUAGAGAGAGAAAUGAGAGAGAAUGGAGUUUGUUCUUUUGUGGAGAAUGAGAGAAGAGUGAGGAGAGAUAAGAGUUUUCUAGACUUUGACCAAGAGUGUGUCUGGAAUUACGGUGGGAAAAGGACAAUGAUUGACUAGGUAUGGUGGAAUUGUGACUGGGGAUGGUCAUGGAGUGGGUAUAGGAGGUUGCUUGUGUUACACACUAAGGUAAAGUCAACACUCAACCGUAAGUAUCUUAUCCAAGAGAUAUUAUUCUUAGGCAAUGAUUUUCCUCAAAAUAUGAUUAAAAUAUGAAUGUUUAGGGUCUCUUAUGUUAAAGUACAAGUUUGGGUGAAAAUCCCGUGUUAAAAUCACGAAAAAUGGGCUUAAAAUGCUAAAAGGAUUGAAAACCGGGAAAUUGGGGCGAAUCUGCAAAGUCAGGAACGAAGGUACGGUCCUUGUGCUUAGAACCGAGGGUAGGUUCGGUCUAUGGCUAGGAACCGAGAGCUGGCUGAACCGAGAAAUUUCUCAUGCGAAAGGUGUUGCAUGAGAAGCGAAGGCGAAGUCAGGCGUGAAAGGCGAAGGCGAAGUGAGCAAAAGGAGCUUCGGUCCAAAGGUCUGAUCCGAGCCGAAGGUGCUAGGAGCCGAACCCGAAGGUGACUUCGGUCCUAUAAGAGGUUUCGGUUCCUUAUGGGAAGUCUCGGUCCAUGGCAGUUUCGGUCCUCCUUGGUUUGGUUCUUGCUAGUUUCGGUCCAAGAGGCUUCUUACGGGUUUCGCUUCUUAGGGUUUCGGCCCUAAGAAGGUUCGGUCCUAAGAGGCUGUUUUUCGUGUAGACUUCCGUUUUCGAGCUGUUUUCGUCUAAUUCGAGGGUCGGGAUGCCCUAACUGAUCAUAAGAAGUUGAGAGCGAUUUUGAGAGAGAUUUGGGAGAGAUUUCACACACUUGGAGAGAUUUCUCAUACAGAGAGAGAUUUGGGAGAGAUUUCACAUUCUUGUAGAGAUUUCUCAGACAGAGAGAGAUUUAACAUUCUUAGAGAGAUUUGGGAGAGAUUUCACAUUCUUGGAGAGAUUUCUCAUACAGAGAGAGAUUUGGGAGAGAUUUCACAUUCUUGGAGAGAUUCAGGAGAGAUUUCACAUUCUUGGAGAGAUUUCGCAUAGAGAGAGAUAGAGCGAAAGUGAUUUAGAGAGGCUUUAUUUGCGACUUUUGCGAGUGUUUAAUUUCGAAAGGCAAGGUUUGUAACCCCCGUUAAGCCUCGUUAUGAACUUUAUACACCCUCGAAGGGUAUGUAUUAAUAUUUUUAUCGAGUAGUUCCAUCUCUUACCCUAAUUUUGGGUGUGGAUUUUCUGAACAUGUGAAACUUCUAAGCGAUGCUUUGUAUUAAGAUGGUGUAUUGUACAAUAGUAAAUAUAAGGUAAAACCUAAUUUACAAGGGUUAAUUGAAUUGACCGGUUUUACUUGUUGACUUUAUUUGAAUUUGACUUGACCAGAAAUUGAUGGUUGUCAUAGUGGCUAACCCUCCUUAAUUCCCUUAAUUUCCUUUUUUUUUGCUUUCUACUUGGACCGAGAGAGGGAAAAGGAAAAGAAUGGUUUGGGCCUUCUAUGCUUGAGUCCUUUAAUAUGAGGCACAAUUUGAUGGUUUUCGGCCCAUUGGGCCUUUAAAGUAGUUCACGGCCCAAAUCUUACAUUAAAGAAUGGAUUUGAGUCCAUUAAGGCAAAUUGAAUUUGUCAUGGCCCAACAAGACCCAUUAAAGGUAAACUAGUCGAUUUUAGACUUGCAAUGCCCUAAAAAGGUUAAGUCUCAUGAAAGUGGGUCCAAUGAGAGCCCAUUUAAGAGUUCUAAGCCCAAAAUAGUCAAAUUGGAAGCUUAUUGGUCCAUAGGCCCAAUAAGGAAAUCCUAGUCCAUAUUGGACUUAAACUGCGAUUUCUAGGGUUUCCAACAUUGUGUUGACUAUUUGAGUGUUUGUAUAGAGUGUUUGAUGGAAUUUUGUAGUCAUUAAAUAAAUAUCAUGCAUGCUUUCAAAUUUUAGUUACAAUGUUAUCCUUGUUUAAUGUUUACAAAGCAUUAGAAUUCCUAGUUGUGACAUCAUCCCCCGUUAAAGGGAAUUUCAUCCCGAAAUUCUUUUUGAAGCUAGAUUUGAGAAUGCGAGAGUAGGUGAGGGUACUUUUGCUUCAUCUGGUCUUCGCGUUCCCAUGUGAAUUCCGGUCCAUGUUUUGCGUUCCACCGAACUUUUACAAUCGGGAUGCGACUUUGUUAGUACUCUUCACUUCCCUCUCCAUAAUUUCAACCAAUUCUUCGAUGAACAGGAGAUUCUCGUUGAUUUCGAUUUCUUCCAAUGGGAUGAUGAGAGUUUCAUCGGAUAAGCAGUUCUUCAAAUUGGUAACAUGGAACACGGGUUGUACACUGCUGAGCUGGGCAGGUAGCUGCAGUCUAUAAGCCACUGGACCGAUUCGAGCAAGAAUCUCGAAUGGUCCAAUGUACCAACACCCGAUCCCCGACUUGAAAUUCCAAGGGCUUUCGUCGUUUAUCAGCGUAGCUCUUCUGUCGGUCUCGUGAAGCUUGUAGUCGAGCUCUGAUUUGAAUUAUCUUCUCUGUCGUUUCGCGUAUGAUUUCUGGUCCUGGUAAUGCAUUGUUUGGUGUCUGUCCUUUUGCUAGCUGAGUGUCACCUACCUCAACCCAACACAACGGUGAUCUACAUUUACGCCCAUGUAAUGCUUCAAAAGGAGCAACUUUGAUGCUUGAGUGAUAACUGUUGUUGUACGAAAAUUCAAUUAACGGUAAGUGGGUGACCCACGACCUUCUAAAGUCUAUCACACAUGCGUGAAGCAUAUCUUCAAGCGUUUGAAUGGUUCGCUCACUUUGACCAUCCGUUUGUGGGUGGUAGGCAGUGAUCAUGUCGAGUUGUGUUCCCAUAGCUUUCUGAAGUGAUUGCCAGAAGUGUGAAGUGCAUCUACUAUCUCGAUCUGAGAUGAUAGAUAUUGGUAUUUCGUGGAGUCUCACGAUUUCCUUGAUGAAGGUUCUUGUCAAUCGUUCCAUCUUGUAUGAUUCCUUAAUUGGCAGGAAAUGAGCGGAUUUUGUCAACCUGUCGACUAUUACCCAUAUGGUAUCCAAUCCCUAUAUAGUAUUGGGUAAUUUGGUAACAAAGUCCAUAGUAAUCCUUUCCCAGUUCCACUCGGGUAUUAUCGGUUGUUGUAAUAGUCCCAAGGGCUUCUAAUAUUCUACCUUCGCUUUAUCGCAAGUAAGGCAUUUGCUAACGUAGGUGGCAAUUUCUGCCUUCAUGUUAGGCCACCAAUAAUGUUGCUUGAUAUCCAAGUACAUUUUAUCUGAACCCGGAUGGAUGGAGUAUCGUGUCUUAUGGGCUUCAUUCAUGACUACCUCUCUGAAUCCAUGAAGUUUAGGAAUCCAAAUUCGGUUCAUGAAAUAAUGUGCUCCGUCCUCCUUAACUUCGAAGUCUUUUUCCAUUCCUCGUAACGCUUCGCUUGUUUUGUUCUCUGCCUUCAUGGCAUUGAACUAGGCUACUUUGAUUUGCGAGGACAGAUGAGAUUGAAUGUUUAUUGAAAGAGUCUUCACACGACGAUCUGAGUAUUCUUUCCGAGUCAAGGCAUCAGCUACCACGUUAGCCUUGCCUGGGUGGUACAUGAUUUCGCACUCAUAAUCGUUUAGCAGCUCAACACACCUUCGCUGCCUCAUGUUCAACUCCUUUUGAUUUAAAAUGUGUUGGAGGCUUUUGUGAUCGGUGAAAAUGGUUCACCUUGUACCAUAUAGGUGUUGGAUAAGGUGUCUAAGUCCAUAACUUAUUUCUGGUAUGUACUUGACCCGACCCGGCAUGGUCCAUUUGGGUUGCAUGGCACCAUGCAAUUGGAUAGACUAAAUGAGAGAAAUAACAUUUGGAGAUUAUUAAUAUAUUAUAAGUUCUAAUAUAUUAAUAAUAUUAUUUGAUUAGUUUGAUCAAUAAUUAAUUUAGAAUUAAUUAAGUGGUCAAAAGAGAACUAAUUAAAUAUAUGGGUUGAUUAUGUAAAUCAUCCAUAUCUUGUAUAGUGGGCUAAGAGGCUCCAUGGAUUAUCAAGUUGGGUUCUACCCAUAGGAUGCUCCAUGGAUGCUCCAUGGGAGUUACAAACCCAUGGGUCAUGGAAAUGAAGAGUCAUGACACAUUAGGGUUUACAUGGUGUAACCCUAGAUGUGUCAACACUAUAUAAGAAUCAUAUUCUCCACCAAAAUGGGACACACUAAGAAAACAAGAGGGCUUGGCCGAUUUCAAGAAGUGUGUGUUCUCUCAUAAGUUUUUCCAAGAGCAUUUGGUGUUGUGUGAAGCAUUUGAGGCAUCACACUUGGGGUGCUAGGCUCACAAGGUUUCAAGGAACACAAGCAACAACAAGGUAAGUUAUUCUAUCUAUGAUUCAAGUUAAAAUUGUUCCCCAUGUAUGCUAGAUAGGAAUAUAACCUUGGAAUUCAACUUUGCAUGAUAAUUAGACAAACAUAGAUCCAAGGUUAUUAGGGUUGCAUGUACACUUAGGAAGUGUUAGAAUGCUCAAAACCCAUCAGUGGUAUCAGAGCCUAGGCUUGUUUGUUUGUUAUUUGUGCUUAAAAGUUGAAGAAAGUCGAAAAUUCUGCUGUCUGACUGAUGGACUCGGCGAGUCCAUGGGGAGGACUCGUCGAGUUCAUGUGUAUCUUCAACCUACUCGGCGAGUAGGUUUAUGCACUCGGCGAGUAGGGUCGACAGAGUGCAGAAUUUCGACUUGAGUUGCUGGAAAUGGAUUAGAAUCAUUACCCUAAAAUGUUUUGGUACUUGAAAACUUAUUUUAGAAGGUGUAAUGUCUUUUCUAACUCAUUUACAACAACUAGUUAUCAAAAUUACAAAGAUUAAAUGUGAUUUUGAUUCUUGAAAGUGUUCAUAUUCAUAUUCUUGUUCUUAUGAUGUUUAGAUGAUCAUAGGAAUUAUUUGUAACCUAUGUGGUAGAUUAAUUCAUGAUCAUAAUGUGUUUUAAUGGAGUCCAUAACUUGUCCUCAAGUUAUGGAAAACCAAAAGUCUCUUGGAUUAAAAACCAUUAAAAGAACACAAGAGUUAGGAAAAAUGAAAAGUCCUCAUUUUAUUACUCUAUUAAACUCAUAAGUUACAAGAAAUGAAAAGUUUUGAAAGUUUACAAAACUUGCCCUCAAGUUUUGGAACAAGUAAAGUUAAGUUAAAACUUUAGUUCCAACCCCUAGAAUUUUAAAAGUUAAAAUUCAACCCUUAUACUUAUAUUAUUAUGAUUUAAUAAUUAUAUAUAUAUGUAUAAGAACAAAGUCGUCUUACCGCUAGUACGCCUCAUUCACGAAGCCGGUCUAUAAGGUGGGUAUAAGGUUGUUGCCUAUAAAAUGGUGACUUAAUGGGUGUCCACUCUCACCCACCGCUUGCUUGAUCGGUGGAGGGUCGUUAGCCGAACGGGUAAGACAAGGACUUAUUAAUUCUCAUUCAAAGUAUGAUGAAUAUUAUAAAGUAACUAAAUGUUUUAUUAAAUUCCCAAUCUUAGUUACUUUAGGAAAAAUGUGAAUAAGGUGCUAUUCCAUGAAAUUACACUUUACACUUUGAUUAAGUCGUUGGUGGAGCGUGUGUGGUUAACCGGCACACUAACUUGGACUUAACAAGGUAGGUAAAGGGUGACUUAGGGUUUAUUAUAGUAUCGAUGGAGCGUGUGUGGUUAACCGGCACAUCGAUUGAGUGAUAAACUUUAAGGGUACCAAGUGAUUUGCAUGGUUACUUCACACCUCGUUUUGUGAUCCUCGGUAUCCCAGUCACAAAACUUGGAGGGCACACUCGAGAUUGAAACAUGCCUUUGAAAAGUUCAUUGAAUCUCAAAGAAUCUAGGAAUUUCUAAGAACCAUUCAAAAACCUAAUACUAAAAUAUUGCGGUUUUCGUGGUGGAAAUUGGUGAAUCGUCAUUCACCUACCUUUCAAAUAUGAUAUAGCUUAGAUUACGGCAUACCUCUUCUAAGUUAUAUUAUAUUGUGAUUGGAUCCUAGCCUUAAUAUUACAUUUGGGUGUUUUAUUAAGGACUCUCUUAUAUCUAAACUAAUCUUGUCCUCUUUCCUUCAGAUGUCUUUCAACAAUGCUUCUGGCUCUAAUCCUAAUGGCUCCUUUACCCUUAUGAACUUGUGUGGGAAAGUCACCUUUGAUGGAUCCAACUUCAAUGAGUGGAUCAGAAACAUCAGGAUGAUUACCCGCUACGAGGACAAAGAAUAUGUCCUUGACAAGGAGCUUAAGGAGAUUGAUGAGUCCACUGCAACUCCUCAGGAGAUCGCUGAAUUUCGGGCACAUGAAAGGGAUGCUACGAAAGUGGCUUGCAUCAUGAUGGCCACGAUGACAGCGGAACUCCAAAAGUCUUAUGAGGAUUUCUACCCUUAUGACAUGCACCAAGAUUUGAUGGAAAGAUACCAUCAAAGUGCAAGACAAGAGAGGUAUGAAAUCAUCUGCUCCAUGAUAACAACCAUGAUGAAGGACGGGGAAUCCGUCACGAGCCACAUGCAGAAAAUGCAAAGGUAUGUGGAUCGUUUGCUGAAGCUUAAUGUGAACUUCCCGGAGGAUCUUGCAAUAGAUAUUAUUUUGCAUUCCUUACCAUCGUGCUAUGAUCAAUUCCGCAUGACAUAUCACAUGAACAAGGAAGAAGUCACCCUCAGCAAACUUCAGGGACUUCUCAAGACCGCAGAAACAGGUCUUAAGGGGAAGUCGGUUGCUAUCACUCCUACUCAAAACUCUACUCCGGUUUUGGCAAUCGGGAAAAGUCGAGGGAGGAAGAGAAAGAGCUCUUCUAAGGGUACCAAGGCUCGGACCCUUGAUGGCUCUUCUUCAAGUGGAACCAAGAAAGGUUUCGUUACUCCUUCUUCUGACCCAAAAGAGGCUGAAUGCUUCUAUUGCCAUGAAAAAGCUCAUUGGAAGCGGAACUGCCCAAAAUACCAGCAAGAUGUGAAGGAUGGGAAAGUUAAACCCAACCAUGCAGGUAUUUACACUAUCAUUUCUAAUAACUCACCCCAUUCUAAUUCUUGGGUCCUUGAUACCGGGUGUGGUAUUCACAUUUGUUGUGACUUGCAGGGACUAAGAAGAAGUGAGGAUGUGGAGCAAGGAAGGAUAAACUUGAUCAUGGGGAAUAGGAAAGCUAUACCUGUUACCAAGAUUGGAGUUUAUACUUUAUCGCUAAGUAGUGGGUUUAGUUUAGAUUUGAAUAAGUGUUGUUAUUCGCCAGGAAUGGCAAGAAAUAUUAUUUCCUUUCAUGCUUUGUACAAACAAGGGUUUACCUUUUCAUUUAAUAAUGAAGUUGGUUCUAUAGAUGUUUUCUAUAAUAAUGUCUUUUAUUUUAAAGCAUUACCUUGUGAUGGUGUGUAUGAAGCUGUAUCUGUUGUAGAUAACUUGGGAAAUAAUGUUUUGUGUAUUGAUUCUACUAAUAAUAACUUGGAUAAAGCAUCUUUAUGGCAUUGUCGUCUUGGACAUAUAAGCAAGAAACGCAUAGGCCAACUCCAAAAGGAUGGAGUCUUGGAGUCGUUUGACCUAAAGUCAGAUGAUAGUUGCGAAUCAUGCUUACUUGGAAAAAUGACAAAGUCACCCUUCACAGGUUCGUGUGAGAGGGGUGAAGGUUUGUUGGACCUUAUACACACGGAUGUGUGUGGACCAUUCAAACAUGCCACAAGGGAUGCUAAUCGUUAUUAUUUGACUUUUACUGAUGAUUAUAGUAGAUAUGGAUAUGUCUACUUGAUCAAGCAUAAGUCAGAGACUUUCGAGAGGUUUAAGGAAUUUAAACAGGAAGUCGAGAAUCAAUUGGGCAGGAACAUUAAGAUGCUUCGAUCCGAUCGUGGUGGUGAGUAUCUUAGUUCAGAGUUCCUCGACUAUCUAAGGGAAUGUGGGAUAGUCUCACAAUUGACACCUCCCAGGACACCACAGUUGAAUGGUGUGGCUGAGAGGCGUAAUCGAACCUUGUUAGAUAUGGUUCGUUCCAUGAUGAGUCGAGCUACGCUACCAAUCUCAUUCUGGGGGUAUGCCUUAGAGACUGCCGCCCAUAUUCUUAAUCUAGUCCCUACAAAGAAAGUUGCCAAAACUCCUCACGAGAUGUGGACUGGUAAAGUACCUAAACUAGACCACAUCAAGAUUUGGGGUUGCGAGGCUUUCGUGAGACGCGAGACUCAUGAUAAGCUCGAACCUCGAAGCGAGAGGUGUAUUUUCAUCGGUUACCCACAGCGAUCCUUUGGUUACCUCUUCUACAGACCUAGUGACAAUGUGGUCUUUGUAGCAAGAAGAGGAGUCUUUCGAGAAAGAGAGUUUAUAAGCCAAGGAGACAGUGGGAGGCAAAUUGAUCUUGAAGAAAUUCAAGAAUCAAGCGGUGAAGGAACUUCAAACUCUAGCCCUCAACUUGAGGAGGAAACUCCUGUUGAGCCAAUUGACAAAUCUGUACCUCUGAGACGUUCCACGAGAGUUAGGAGUGCACCUGAGCAUUACUAUGGAUUCCAUAUUACUGCAGAAGGUGAGACACUUAUUAGUGAUGAGACACUAGUAAGUCAAGAUGACCCUAACAGCUACGAGGAAGCCAUGGCAGGCCCCGAGUCUGCUAAAUGGAAAGAGGCUAUGGAUAGCGAGAUACAAUCCAUGUAUGACAAUCAAGUUUGGAACUUGGUUGAAAAUGUACCAGGUCGUAAGACAGUAGGGUGCAAAUGGGUCUUCAAGAAGAAGACCGACAUGGAUGGUAAAGUACACACUUAUAAGGCUAGACUGGUUGCAAAGGGCUUCUCUCAAAUUCCUGGAGUGGAUUAUGAUGAGACCUUUUCUCCGGUAGCCAAGAUUAAGUCUAUUCGGGUUCUGUUAGCCAUAGCUGCAUUUCAUGACUAUGAAAUAUGGCAGAUGGAUGUCAAAACCGCUUUCCUUAAUGGAAAGUUGGCUGAAGAUGUUUACAUGAGUCAGCCAGAGGGUUUUGUCAGCAACGAGUACCCUAAUAGAGUGUGUAAGCUUGAGAAAUCCAUUUAUGGAUUGAAGCAAGCACCUCGCAGAUGGAAUCUUUGCUUUGAUGAAAAGGUCAAGGAAUUUGGCUUUUCUAGGAGUGAAGAUGAAUCUUGUGUGUAUGUCAAGGCUAGUGGGAGUAUAGUUAGCUUUUUGGUAUUGUAUGUGGAUGACAUACUACUCAUAGGAAACGACAUUCCAACCCUGCAGGAAGUAAAGUCCUGGCUUGGGAAGUGUUUCGCUAUGAAGGACCUUGGUGAAGCUGCCUAUAUUCUAGGGAUAAGAAUCUUGAGAGAUCGGAGUAAAAGACUAAUUGGACUUAGUCAGAGUACCUACUUGGAUAAGGUGCUGAAGAGAUUCAGCAUGCAGGAUUCCAAGAAAGGAGAGUUACCCAUCCAGAGUAACACCAGAUUGAGUAAGACACAAAGCCCUAGCACUGAGGCUGAGAUAGCAGAAAUGAGUCGAACACCUUACGCUUCGGCUGUAGGAUCGAUCAUGUAUGCUAUGACGUGUACUCGACCCGAUGUAGCUUUUGCCUUGAGCAUGGUUAGCAGGUAUCAGGCGAACCCUGGCAAGGCACACUGGACUGCGGUAAAGAAUAUCCUCAAGUACCUACGGAGGACUAAGGACUGGGUCCUUACCCUCGGUGGGAGUGAUGACUUGAGAGUUGUAGGGUAUAGUGAUGCUAGCUUCCAGACUGAUAGGGAUAAUUUCCGCUCUCAGUCGGGCUGGGUCUUUACCCUAAACGGAGGAGCAAUUUCUUGGAAGAGUUCCAAGCAAGAGACAGUGGCAGAUUCUACUUGUGAAUCAGAGUAUAUUGCAGCUAGUGAAGCAGCAAAGGAGGCGAUAUGGCUGAAGAACUUCAUUGGAGACCUUGGAGUUGUACCAGCUAUUAAAGAGCCAAUGGAAAUUUUCUGUGAUAGUGAAAGUGCUGUUGCCUUAGCCAAGGAACCAAGGGAUCAUGGGAGAUCCAGACACAUCGACAGAAAAUACCAUUUCAUUAGACAUCGGAUCGAAGAAGGACUCCUCGUGGCAAAGAGGGUAUCAUCGGAUGAGAACCCAGCAGAUCCCCUCACGAAGGGACUGAGUAGGGUUAAGCAUCUCCAGCAUGCUCGGAGCAUAGGGCUGAAGGAUGAUAUAAGUUUUAGUAGUUAGAUAACCCAGAAAUUUGUAAAGUGUAAUUGACAUUUGAUGAUGAAUAAAAGGUGUUUUAUUUAUGAGUAAAGUGUUGCUAUCUCUUGUCGAUCGUUUACUAUAUUUCUUUUGCAUGUUUUGACUUCCAGAAUAAUUUUGUUUGGUAUAACAUAUUAUUCAAACCUCCACAGUCGGUCAUAUGUUGGAAGUAGAUAUGAAUCAAGACUGUCAUGUUUGGUUGUAGAGGUCUUGGACAAGGCUACAACAAUCAUGAGUGCUCAUAAGUUCUGAGCAUUGGACUCAACCCACGCUCACUGGAAUCACUUCAUGGAAUUCUAUCUCGAGUGAUCGUGAGACGGUAAUAUCAUAUAAGUCUUCAAACCUAGAGAUAUGAUUUGUUACUUACAAGUUGGUUAUGCAUUGACUGUACGAAACCGCAUUGGUAACUCGAUGUUAUAAAACGUACUUUUGUGUGUAAUUCAAUGAGUGGUAGAACAAACAUAUGAGUCGAAGUUUAUCUGUUCCUUCUUGGAUUAGAAGCUGAUAUCUGGGCCCCUCGAUGAUUUUGUUUUGACCCAUGUACCGGGCCCGGUCAGAACUAAGUUGAUGUGUUCAAUUAAGUUCUAUGUCAAACAAAUCGGAAAUCGGGAAACAAAUGCUGGACAAUAAGCAAGACAAUGUUCCAUGUAUUUGUCCGGCUGAUAUCUAGAACGGAGGAUUAUAUGAUCACUUAUCUUAAAUGGCGUACCAUCAUCUUCUCAGUUCCGAGAGACCUUGAAAGAGCUACGAUUGCCGGUCGGUUCCUGAAGUACUAGAGAUAUAGUUAUUAGACUUAUCCAAGUGGGAGACUGUUGGAUAAGGUGUCUAAGUCCAUAACUAUUUCGGGCUUGUACUUGACCCGACCCGGCAUGGUCCAUUUGGGUUGCAUGGCACCAUGCAAUUGGAUAGACUAAAUGAGAGAAAUAACACUUGGAGAUUAUUAAUAUAUUAUAAGUUCUAAUAUAUUAAUAAUAUUAUUUGAUUAGUUUGAUCAAUAAUUAAUUUAGAAUUAAUUAAGUGGUCAAAAGAGAACUAAUUAAAUAUAUGGGUUGAUUAUGUAAAUCAUCCAUAUCUUGUAUAGUGGGCUAAGAGGCUCCAUGGAUUAUCAAGUUGGGUUCUACCCAUAGGAUGCUCCAUGGGAGUUACAAACCCAUGGGUCAUGGAAAUGAAGAGUCAUGACACAUUAGGGUUUACAUGGUGUAACCCUAGAUGUGCCAACACUAUAUAAGAGUCCCAUUCUCCACAAAAUUGGCUACACAAGUUGAACACUAAGAAACUAGAGGGCUUGGCCGAUUUUGAGAAGUGUGUGUUAUCUCAAGAGUCUUUCCAAGAGCAUUUGGUGUUGUGUGAAGCAUUUGAGGCAUCACACUUGGGGUGCUAGGCUCACAAGGUUUCAAGGAACACAAGCAACAACAAGGUAAGUUAUUCUAUCUAUUAUUCAAGUUAAAAUUGUUCCCCAUGUAUGCUAGAUAGGAAUAUAGCCUUGGAAUUCAACUUAGCAUGAUAAUUAGACAAACAUAGAUCCAAGGUUAUUAGGGUUGCAUGUACACUUAGGAAGUGUUAGAAUGCUCAAAACCCAUCAAUAGGUAGUGUCUCCAAAUCUUCAAGGCAAAAACCACAGCUCCCAAUUCGAGAUCCUGAGUGGUAUAAUUCACCUCAUGUGUCUUUAGUUGUCGGGACGAAUAAGCUAUCACCUUCUCAUGCUGCAUGAGUACAAAGCCUAAAUCCUGAUUCGAAGCAUCGCAGUAAACCACAAAAUCUUCAAUUCCCUCUGGAAAUGAUAGUACUGGUGCACUACAGAGUGCUCGUUUCAGAGUUCGGAAGGCAACCUCCUCCUUUUCUGUCCAUUAAAUGGUACGCCCUUUUAUGUAAGCAUGGUAAGCGGCUUGGCUAUUUUGGAGAAGUUCUGAAUGAAUCUUCUGUAAUAGCCUACGAGGCCCAAAAAUUGAUGAAUUUAUGUGGGUGUCGUUGGGACUGCCAAUCCUUUAAUGGCUUUGAUCUUAGAGGGGUCUACGUGUAUCCCUUCUUGACUGAUAACAUGACCUAAAAAGUUUACGCUACGGAGCCAGAACUCACACUUAUAGAGUUUUACGUAUAACUUUUCGGUUCGUAGGGUUUCCAAGAUUUGUCGGAGAUGUCGGCUAUGCUCCUCUUUGCUUUGAGAAUAGACUAGGAUAUCGUCGACGAAAACAAUAACAAAGUAGUCGAGGAAUGGUCGGCAGAUCCAAUUCAUUAGGUCCAUGAAUGUAGCAGGGGCAUUCGUUAGACCGAAGGGCAUUACAAUAAAUUCUUAAUGUCCAUAGCGAGUUUGGAAAGUAGUCUUGAGGAUAUCCUCCUCCCAGACCUUGAGUUGGUGAUAUCCGGAUCGCAGAUCUAUCUUAGAGAAGUAGUUUGCUCCUUGAAGAUGGUCGAAUAGAUCGUCGAUUCGUGGAAGUGGGUAGCAAUUUUUUAUAGUAAGCUUAUUCAGUUCUCUGUAAUUGAUGCAUAUCCUAAAGGAUCCAUCCUUUUUCUUAACAAAGAGGAUCGGAGAUCCCCAGGGUGAGAAGCUAGGUCGGAUGAAUCCUUUGCUCUAGAGUUCGCUAAGUUGGCUUGACAGUUCUUGCAUCUCCGCAGGAGCCUACCAAUAGGGUGAUUUGGCAAUGGGUGUAGCUCCCGGCACAAGGUCAAUUCGGAACUCGACUUGUCUUUCUGGGGGUAUCUCCGAAAGAUCUUCAGGAAAAACAUCCGGAAAAUCGCAAGCUACUGGAAUGUCUCAAAUAUUGACCUCUUCCUUGGACUUAUCCACAAUGUGAGCCAGAAACGCCAAGUCCUUCUUUUGUAGACACUUAUGUGCCUUAAUACAUCUCUUUAGGGUUAUCAUUCCCCUUGUGCCAUUAAAGGUUCGUGGCUUGGCAUUGGUGAAAUCUUUGGAGGAGCAUGUCUUGGUAGGCCCCUGGUUCAUUCAGUUGUUUGAGCUUCCAGCCCCUUGCCCGUUGCCUCUACCAUUUUUUCCAUUGUGGAUCUGUGCCAGUGCCGCUGUGACUGCAGCAGAUACAACUGCUUGAAAUGCAACUGAGUUGAUUUUUGGUGGUAUCGGCUCGGGGUUUCCACGGGUUGGUCACUGAGGCAUCCUUUUGUCAAGGAACGGAAAGAUGUUGAGUGCCUCUAAUUUUCGUGAGUUUGUGGGCCUAUGAACUAGGUAUAUAGUAUAUACUUACGAAAUUUUUACAUAUUGACAUACCACAUGGAAAUAUAACACAUAGCAGAUAAGAACAUCACGGUAGAACACAUAUUUUUCGACUAAUAAUAUUCGUACUUUAAUACAUGAAAAUUUGCUCAAAAGAGCAUACAUAAAGUGUACAAAGUUCGGCAGUGUAACGACUCUAUGAGUAGUGUAAUCACUUAAACAUAGAGUCAAUGGUACCUAUCCUAGAUCCUAUAAGAGAGUCUUAAUACCAGUACCCGUACUAUUGAUCCUGAUCAUGCUGUAAAUUUCCUAAUGGUGGCAACUAUAUCAUAUUCCAAAAUGUUGUUCCUGCAGCUGAGCCAUCUCCGUCAUCUCUCCGAUGACUUCAUCUCGUUCUUGCUCAGCUUUCACGGCUCAUGCUUCCAUCGAAAACAACUGUUGUCGAACUGGUGGGGCAGGAUGGUCCUGGUCUAUUUCGUCGGUAGGUGAUUUGGGGGCUUCGUCUGCGUCCCCCUGCCCCUCAGUGUCGUCGUCGGUCCCCUCAAAAUCGUAAUCUGUAUCGGUGUACUCAUCGGGUCCAACGUCAUGAGCUGCUCCUUGCCCUUCCUCUAGGUCGUGUUCAAUUAUUCCAUGGGCCACCAAGGCCUGGUGAAACUGGAUGACUUGAUGCUCCUAUUCCAUGGUGACUAUGAUGGGUAACACGCAAGGAGGGUAUAUAAAUAAACUACUAUUACUCCUACGACGUUUUAGUUGUUAUAUAAAUUGAGUUUGAUGUUCUCUUCAUGGUAAUCAAAAGGGUAUGUUUUAGGUUUACCUACCAUCGCGGUCACUCCAGGGCAUGUGAUAGUUGUACUCUGGAGGAACUUUAGUUGAUCAGGCUACAUUCGCCCCUUAAUACAACUAUGAACAGUCCAGGCUUAACCGAGAUGUCAGGAUCAUCUUAUUUAAUUUGGUAUUAUAUUCAUUUUCCUAAGUCGCACAAGUAAAAGUGUUUUAUUAUUAUAUUUUAUUUGUUUUAUUCAGAGUUAUUUAGUUCCUCUUUGGGUUUAUAGUUGCAUAUCAAUGUGUGGUUAGAUAUGCUAGUUCACUAUAAACAAAGCUCUAAUACCAACUUGUCACACCCCCAAACCAGACGGCGGAAACAUCUGAGGGCUCGCAUGACUUAAAUUGAAAUAUCAUCACAAUGAAUAUACAUGAACAACACAUACAUCACCAACAUUACAUACUUCAACUGUCAUUGUUCACGUCAAGUACAUUGUUUAAACAUUACACAUCCAUAACAUAAGUUGUUUGAGAAUUAUGAAAACAUAACAUCCUAACACACUUGGUAUUGUUCUUCAGCUUACUUGUUACCUGAGAAUACAAGUUAUUUUAAAAGAUUCAACAUAUAUAAUGUUGGUGAGUUCAUAAGCAUGUUUGAUAUGAUAUUAGUUUGUAUUGUUUGUAAAACCCAGAAAAUCAGAUAUUUUUUAUGCAAAAAUUGUUUGCGAAAAGAUGCGAUGAUCCCAUAAGCGAAUGUGUAAGUGAUUUCAAAACAAGUAAAAGUUAUUUUUAUUCAAAAUUGAUUAUUGUAUUAUAGUUGUUGUGUAUAGGAGUGAAUAAUGUUGUUGCCCCGAAAAACCCGAUGUUUUCCAAUAUAAAUAGUAUGAUAGUUUUAUAUUAUUAUAUCGUCACAAUGAAUGAAUAUGUUAUUCCCUGAUUACAUAGAUGGUGUUAGAUCUCUAUGUGAAUCAUUAUAACCAUGCAUAAUAAUGACUAGUUCGUCUGUCUUGGCAUUCUAGCGAAUGUCGGAAUUGAUUUAAUUUGUCACCCUAGACUGGCCGAGUCAAACUGUAGCGAACAACUUAGGUGUGGGGGAGUCACCCCCGUAUAGAUCUAUACACAAACUCAAGCUCUCCCUCCAGGAGACUCUGUUUAUAAGUACAAACUAUGACCGUCACUUAAUAGUGUCACCCGUUAUUUCCCACUAAAUCCAACUGAAUUUGAAUAACCUUGUUUAUCAACCUAAUUUUAUGUUUACUUGAAUAACAGAGAUAAGCCUAACAGACGAAGAGAAGAGGGCAGCAAAGGCCCACUAAGCACGUAUGUUAUUAUAGGCUGUCGAGUAUGAGACGAGCAUGUUGGCCCAUCAUGCAUAUGUUUGAUUUGGACCUUACUAGCAAUACCAAUGGGCCACUGAGGCCCUAUAGCAUGGUAAAUCCAUUGAGGGUCCCUUAGGCAUGUAAUUGGGUCACAGGAGGCCCAAUAAAUAUGUGUGAACAUAUCGGGCCCGAUAAACAUGAUAUUGGGCCACAAAGGCCUAAUAACAUGUAUAGAAGGUAUUUGAGCCCAACUUUUGAAUCGCUUAUGUUUUAUCGAGUUUAAGUUCAUAUUGUUGGUAUUCGUGGUAUGUUAAAUGUUUAUUCGCAAUAACGAAAUAUUUUAACGUUUGAUUUAUAAUGAAGUUUUUAUUUUAUAUAUAUAUNAUAUAUAUAUAUAUAUAUGUAUAUUUUUAAAACCAUGCGUUAUAAACUUGGUAUUUUUAACCCCAAAAGUAAUAGUCAUUUAAUUGGCCCAAAAACAUUUAGAUUAACCAUUGUGACACCUUUUUCUAUAAAAAUGACAGCUUCAGUGUAACAUCCGGAAUUCCAGGUAGCAUAUUUUAAAUAAUUAUUUUUGCCAAGAAGAGGGACUCGAUGAGUAGACGCCUAGACUCGUCGAGUAGGAUCGCGAUUUGCUGACUGGAUUUAGUGAAGAGACUCGACGAGUCGGGGAGUCGACUCGACAAGUCCGCGCUGUGGCUAGAAACCCUAAAUCCUCGGGCAUGUGCCCUAUUUAAAGGACCUUAUGGCCCUCAUUUGUGGGAACCUUCACCUUUGAGAGCACCAGAGCACCUGGGAGCGUUGUGGGAGAGAGCCAUUUUCAUCAUUCUAAGUGUGAUUUUGCAAGAAAGAAGGAAGGAGGGCAAGCUAGGAGGGUUGAGGAGCUUAGAUCUACCACUAUUUGGUCAGAAGAGGGUGCUAGAGGUAUGAAUCUGUGCUCAAUCUCGUGUAUUUGGUGAUCUACUUGAAUCUAGGGUUUUCUUAUGCCUUCUUUAGCUUGUAUUCGAAGUAUAUGAGGUCCCUAGGUGGAAUUCUUCUUAGAUCUAGACCUAAGAGGUCCAAAGAGUCCUAUCUGCACUGCUUUAUGCUAUUCCAAUAGAUAUAUGAACCUAGGUUGCCAUUUUGGAGGCUAUUUCACCAAAAGAAGUAUUAUGGACGUUGCAUGAGUGUAAAGGACGGACCUUUACAUGAUUAUUGAGUAUGCUAAGGUCAGAUCUAUAGGUUAGAGACACAGAUCUGAACUCAAAUGGUCAUUUGAGUGUUGCCUCGGAAGGAACUCACCGAGUCCGUAAGGGGACUCGACGAGUCGAGUCGGGGUUGCCAUGGAAGGAACUCGCCGAGCCCGUAAUAGGAGGAGGCUAGGUUGGGAUAUUCGAGCAUGAGAGUUUAUCCGACUUCAUACGAGGUGAUUCUUUUCACUAUACAUUACCUAGAGUGGUAUCUAUGUUCAGACCGGAGGGUCUUAUGUGUGAUGUGUAUGCUUGAGAUUAUGUGCUUUGUGAUAUAUGUAUGCUAUAUGUUAUAUAGAACGAACUGGAGAGUCCAAUGAUUCAGACCGAACCAGAGGGUCCAACGAGCUAAGACCGGACCAGAGGGUCCAACGAGCUACGAGACUGGAGGGUCCUGCUGUGACACAUAGAUCGAAGGAUCGUACUGUGUUAUAGCCUUGAGUGGCAUAUGUGUUGUGUGUGUUAUUUUGUGGAACUCACUAAGCAUUUAUGAUUACAAUGUUAUGUGUGAUGUGUUUCAGGUACUAGCGAGGAUCGCGGGAAGGCGCCGACAUGAUCUCUACACACUGACAGAGAAUUGUAUUUUGUGAUCUUGGGAAAUCUCUCCCAAAUCUCUCUCCAUAUGAGAAAUCUCUCCAAGUAUGUAAAAUCUCUGCUAUAUCUCUCCACGUAUGUCAAAUAUCUCCUUUUAUGAGAAAUCUCUCCAAGAAUGAGGAAUCUCUACCAAACCUCUCUCCAUAUGAGAAAUCUCUCCAAGUAUGUGAAAUCUCUCCACAUAUGUCAAAUAUCUCCCAAAUCUCUCCUUAUAUGAGAAAUCUCUCCAAGAAUGUGAAAUCUCACCCAAAUCUCUCUCAAAAGUUCCUUAACCAGGUCAAAAACUGCUUAAAACGGGUUAAAAACGGAUAAAAUAGACUUAAGGACCCGAAACCCCUCUUAAGGAGCCGAAACCUCUUAAGGACCUAAAACCCCUCUUAGGAACCGAACUUGUCAGAAGCGAAGGUGUCAGAAGCGAAGUCAUCAGAAGCGAAGGCAUCAUAAGCGAACUUGUCAGAAGCGAACUUGUGAGAAGCGAAGGCAUCAGACGCGAACUUGUCAGAAGCGAAGGCAUCAGAAGCGACCGAACCCUCUCAGGAGCUGAAGGUCCCUUCGGACCGAACCUCGGCCUAGGAUCGAGAGGCCUUGCAGGAAGCUUUUUUUCACUCGGUUUUCGACUAGUUUUGCGUUUUAGGCCCGUUUUUAAUUGUUUUAACGUGGGAUCGUCACCCAAAACUUUAUUUUAACAUAUAAGGCCCCAUAUAUAUUAAUUAAUCACAAUUUUUGGGGAUAAAACGUUAUCCAUGAAGAGUGGGUGAGGUACAAAGGUUGAGUGUUGACUUUUCUUUAUUUUAUGACACAAGCAACCACUCCCAUACCCACUCCAUGUCACUAUUCUCCAUCAGCCCAUACCUAGUCAUUUAAUGGUACUUUUCCCACCAUUUUUCAUCCACACACUUGGUCAAGGGUUAGAAAACCCUCCUCCCUCCUCACAUUUCUUUCAUUUCCUCUCAUUCUUCCAUCAAGAACAAACUUCAUUUUCUCUCAUUUUCUCUCUCUAAAAUUCGAUAUUCAAGGCCAUUAUCCAAGCUUUUCUUCUACUUUUGGUAAGUAUUAACAUCCUCCAUAUGAUUAUUACACCCCAUUCUACUCCAAUAAUAGAUUGCUUACACAAAUUCUAUCAUUUUGGUGUUAGAUUCUAAAAAAUCUUCAAGGCAUCUUCAAGUGUUCUCAAGUUGAACACUUCCCUACUCCAACAUUCAUCUACUGAAAUCACAUAAGGUGAGUUCAUACCACUACAUUUUCAUGUUUUCUUAAGUUUUUAGGUGGGAAUACAAGUUAAAANGGGGGGGGAUACAAGUUACAACACCAAGAACAUAACUAAACUUUUCUAAUAGCUUUCAUCAGAAACGUUGGACUCCAUUCACGGACUGUUUUGGACAACUUAAACAUUUUAGUUUUCAAAAAUGUAUCAGGUGAAAAUAGUUCAAAUUCUUAGCUUUAAAAUGACUACUUGCACAUCUCCAUACAACGUUUCUACAAUUUAUGGUGAUUUUUACAAAACUGCCUAUCAUUUCAAACAUCAAUCCGGACCAGUCUGUGAUUAUGUAUUGUUUCACACAAGUUGAAGGUCAUAAAUGAUGGGUUUUAGCCAUAAAAACUUUCCUAUGUGCGCAUGCAAAACCCCAAUGNGGAGCUUCUAGAGUCACAAAUGUCACUCCUCUAAUGGCUUACAAACACCAAUAGCAAGAAGAAUGAUUUAGGAGAGAGGAGAGGGGAGGAAUUUCGACCAGAGGUUCCUUACUUUAGGUGAUGUGUCGAAUUCCGCAUGCCAUAGGGUCUAUUUAUACUUGUAGACUCCUUAAGGGUUACAACCUAAACCCUAAUUGGAUAAUCUUCUCUUAAGGCUAUCCAAAUCCAUUCCUAGAUAACUUAUAUGGACGAUUUUAGCUAUCCCUAUGCUCUUAGAAUCCGUCCAAAGCAUAUCCCAAUGGAUUUACAGUCUAAAGUUUAACUAUCAAACAAUUGACAGUUUGUACCCCUUUAUUUAAUUAAUCUCUUUAAGUCACCAAAUUAAUUCCAAUUAAUUCUAUGACUUAUAUUAAUUAAAUAACCAUAUAUUAUUCUUUAUAAUAUUUACUCUCUCUCAAUAAAUCAUCCCAUCAAGUUGCUAUGGUGAAGGCAACCCAAAAGGACCAUGCACAACCGGGUCAAGUACUUGCCUAAUAUAGUUGUAGCCUUAGACACUAUUCCAACAAUAAAAAAUCAUGAUAAAAAUUAUGAAUAAACUAGACACAUUUUAGGAACUCUCAGAAUUUACGGAUUCAGUUUUCAACUUCGUAUGAUUUUUCUAUGAUCCUUCUAAAACAGUGUAGAAGAGUUAAAAACUAGUUAAUAGCUUAUAACUUUCAACACACUUUGUAACAUGUUGAACAAAGUGUUAAAUCUUUGAUGACUACAUAUUUUGCAUGUGUUUCUUGUUGUGGUAUAAUUAUAUAACAGAAAGUACUCACUGAAUUGUAAGAAUCCUCCAUUAUUACCAUUAGUACAAAACAAAGCAAGAUAAACAUAGUUAUAUUUUGCUAUACAUUCGACUUACAUAGAAAAUGGUUCUUAUACACCACAAACAAACAUACUAAAUUAUAAUAGGUAUAGUUAGGUUUCUUAUACAUUUCAAACAUCUUGAUAAACUAUAAUAGGUAUAGUGUAUGUUCAUUUACGUUACAAAAGGUUUUCAUACGAAAAGAGGUACAAAUACAAAGUACCGGGUUUAUACGAAAAGGGGUACAAAUACAAAGUACUGGUUGUAUACAAAAAGGGGUA